rnacentral:rRNA from 1 species
GACGAACGCUGGCGGCGUGCUUAACACAUGCAAGUCGAACGGAAAGGCCUGUCCUUCCUUGUGUUGGACGGGUACUCGAGUGGCGAACGGGUGAGUAACACGUGAGUGAUCUGCCCCCAACUUGGGUAUAAGCCUGGGAAACUGGGUCUAAUUCCCGAUAGGACUGCAGGGUGGUGCCUGUGGUGGAAAACGAUUUUCUAGUGGUUGGGGAUGAGCUCGCGGCCUAUCAGCUUGUUGGUGGGGUAAUGGCCUACCAAGGCGGCGACGGGUAGCCGGCCUGGGAGGGUGGACGGCCCCAUUGGGACUGGGAUACGGCCCAGACUCCUACGGGAGGCAGCAGUGGGGAAUAUUGCACAAUGGGCGGAAGCCUGAUGCAGCGACGCCGCGUGGGGGAUGACGGCCUUCGGGUUGUAAACUCCUUUCGACCGCGAGGAAGCCGCCUGGUUGGAAGGGUGGUGACGGUAGUGGUAGAAGAAGCACUGGCUAACUACGUG